AAAUUGAAGAGUUUGAUCAUGGCUCAGAUUGAACGCUGGCGGCAGGCCUAACACAUGCAAGUCGAACGGUAACAGGAAGCAGCUUGCUGCUUUGCUGACGAGUGGCGGACGGGUGAGUAAUGUCUGGGAAACUGCCUGAUGGAGGGGGAUAACUACUGGAAACGGUAGCUAAUACCGCAUAACGUCGCAAGACCAAAGAGGAAAGAGG
rnacentral:rRNA from 1 species